GCUGCUGCUGCUGCUACUGCCGUUACAGGCUGCUACUGCUGUUGCUGUCGCUAUCGUUGUCGCCUGUUGCUAACGUUGCUACGGUGUUCCUGACAUCCAGUCUCGUAAACGUUGUUCCAGCAGCAAACCAACUAUUGUUCACGCAACUUAAAGGGAUUACACUAACAUCAUAAAAUAUAAGACGAUAUGAGAAAAUCUAAAGCAAAAAAUCGAUGAAGAAAAUAAAGAAAAUAACAACAAAAACAAGAACAACAAGCGGAAGAAGAGGGGGAAGAAGCGGGGGAGGCAGAAGAGGAAGAUAAAGAACAUGGAAAUCAAGAGAGCCAGGCUGAAGAGCUGAUUCUUGAAGUCGAUAUCGUCGUAUAUGUUAGCAACAUGCGGCCAAUCAUGGGGCCAGCAUGUGGCUAACACGUGAGCAGCACGUGACCAAUAUAUAGCCAGCAUGUAAACCAAUAUGUGUUUAAAAUGUGGCCUUUGUGCGACCAGUGUAUGAUUAGCAUCUGACCAUCACGUGACUAUCGUGUAACUACCGUGUGACCGACAUAUGACAACGACUUGACCAAUAGCUGGUCAUCACGUGACUAAACAGCAUCUGGCCAACGCGUUAUUGACAGUUGACCAGUGUGUGACUAUCAUCUGCGUAGUAUCUGGUCAUCACGUGACCAGCACCUGACCAACGCGUUAUCAGCAGCUGACCAGAGAGCGACCAACAACAACUUAGCAGUAUCCGAUCAUCAUGUGACCGAUGUCUGACCAAUGCGCUACCGACAACUGACCAAAGAGUGACCAAGAUCUGAGCAGUAUCUGAUCAUCACGUGACCAACACCCGACCAGCACAUUAUCGACAGCUGACCAACAUGCGUGGGUGUGGAGUGUGUGAUCAGUUUCUAAUUAGCAUUUGGUCGCUGGGUGACUAGCGAGUGACCAACACGUGACCAGCAUGUGACCAACGCUAAAAACGGCGGGUAAGCAGCAUGUGUCAGUUAGACUGCGAUGUGAAUACAAUUAGCAAAGACAAGAAAAUAGACACCUCUCGACUACCUCCACCCUGAAAAUAUAAACACCACCACCACCGCCACCUCCACCACCCUUCGCUUUUCUACUCCUGAAGAAAUGAGGAAAAACAAACAAACAAACAAACAAGCAAACAGGAACUUGAAACAAUUUAAGACCGAAUUUAAACCAAGCUAAAUAGAAGAAAAAAAAAACAACAAAAAAACUACAAGCAAAUAAAUAAACCCAACAAC
rnacentral:lncRNA from 1 species